rfam:Dipodomys ordii contig_6171, whole genome shotgun sequence.
GGGAAGUUGGCUCAGAGGUAGAGUACUUGCCUCUCAUGCAUGAGGCCUUGGGUUUGAUUCCCCAACACCACA